rnacentral:lncRNA from 14 species
UCCAGCUCUCUGGAGUGAGAGUUGAGCAGCCUUACAUGCUCACUAGUGCCAUUCCAAAUCCUAUGGAGAAGGGCAAAAGGACUUUGAGGUCUGUCACAAGGAAGAGGCAGCACAGCUGCUCAAGGAAUGCUGUCCCACUAGGAAAGGCAGCUGAAGUGAAGAGGGAGGUGAACUUCAUCUGCUGGCUUUUACUGGCCAUGGUAUCAAGCUGUCAGUGGUAAUUUUGGGAGUGACAAUGUGUUCGGUACUGUUGGUGAAAGCUUCAGCCAUCUGUUACCCCUACUAAGAAGGGAAGACAAGAGAGACACAGAGAGACAGAGAGCUUUGAGCUUUGUGGCUUUUCCAAGCCUCCAGGAUCAUCAUUCAACUCAAGGGCAGCCAAGAAACAUUCCUGCGCACUGGACCUUUCGUGUAUAGGGGAAAGACCUGAAUGAGUACAGGGGCAACACAGCUUCCUGAAGGAUGAAUGGAGGGAGAAAGAUGGAGAUUUACAGUAUGCAUAUAUGUACGU